rnacentral:rRNA from 1 species
UACGAAGGGAGCUAGCGUUGUUCGGAAUCACUGGGCGUAAAGCGCACGUAGGCGGAUGUGUCAGUCAGGGGUGAAAUCCCGGAGCUCAACUUCGGAACUGCCUUUGAUACAGCACGUCUUGAGUCCGAUAGAGGUGGGUGGAAUUCCUAGUGUAGGGGUGAAAUUCGUAGAUAUUGGGAAGAACACCGAUGGCGAAGGCAGCCAUCUGGACCGACACUGACGCUGAGGCGCGAAAGCGUGGGGAGCAAACAGG